GGUCGGGUUAAAACUGAAUACUCAAAGCUCAAAUGCUAUUCUCUAAAUUAUAUGAGUCAAUAUAAAAUGGUAUACUGACAAGUCGCAAAAAUUUUAGAAUUAAUUUUCUGUAUUGUGUGAAAGCUCAAACUGAACGCAUCAAACCUAAUUACGUCCGUGAUUUAAAAGUAAACAUAAAAAUUAAAACAAAUAACAAAAUUAAACGCACAUCAAAUAACGACUCGGUCAUGUCGCGAAUGAGUAGUGCAAAAAGGAAAAAACAAUUAAUGACACUGGUCAAGGUACCUGUGCAAGUGAUAAUUUUUUUUCUCCUUUGCAAACAAUAGAUGAUAACAGCGACGAAAACACAGAUAUCAUUGUUUCUAAGGCAAAAACAAUUCAUGUACCACCGAUUACAGCUAUUAAGUGCACAAUUGAACAACUGCAUAUAUUUUGUAAACAAACAAAGAUUUCAGAUUAUUCAAUACAAAAAAUCUCAAUUGGGUUGAAAUUGCAUUGUGUUUUGUUUUGUUGGAUUUUGACAUAGCAUCCCAAAAAAAUUAAAUCGGAAAAUAUAUUAUUAUACACUUAUGCUAUGCUAUUUGGGCUGGACAAGUUUGAACCAAUUACAAUUAAAAAUUCUCUUAUACAAAUGGGACUUAAGUGUCUAGAUGUUAAACUCAUAGAAAAACGUAGACCAAACAACAGUGUCCUAAUUCUAUGUUCGGGCAUGGCUCCAGUCGCUGCGCGGUUAAAACAUUUUGUGCCAACUACUCCGGACGCCAUAAAACAACGGAUUGCACUGUGCAAACAAUAAAAUGUGCUAAUUGGAACGGUGAUCAUAGAGCAUCAUCUUAUGACUGUCCAAGCAGACUGCAUUAUAUUAAUAUUAAGAGUAUAUAUCAGCCCAAGAGCAAGAUCUCUCCAUCGUUACUGCCAGGAAGGACUAUGCAUCUAUAAAAUCGGGUUCGUACAACGAAAGCUUCCCAAACAUCUUAAAUCAAGCGGCACCACGCUCUAAGCCUAGCUGGAAUAUUCAAGCCAGAACACAAGAAGUGAACAACAUGUUUACCAUUCAGGAAAUUAAAGAACUAACUUUCGACUUCAUUAAAAAUUUAUGUAAUUGUAAAUCUAAGGCUGACCAAUUCGAAGUUAUAACUAACUUAGCUUGUAAAUUCGUAUCAUAAUAAUGCUUCAUCGUUUACAUAUAACAAUUUUUAUAAUCGUAUACAUGGAAUGCCAGGGGAGUUGUCAACAAAAAAGGGGGAACUAUUCCAUUUCCUCUCUCAGUACAACGUAGAUAUAUGUCUACUAACAGAAACCUGGCUAAAAAUUAAUACAUGUUAAUGUUAUCAUAAUGACCGUGAGAAUUCAAGAGGAGGGGGAGUAGCAAUGAUAGUUAAGAAAAAUAUUCGUCACCGUUUACUUCCUCUGUCCAACACUACGCUUAUUGAAAACAUUGGCAUACAAGUUUCAAAUUCCGCUCAUGAUUCCACUGAUAUAUAAACAACAGUUUUCUGCUGACAUUCACAA